GCCACAAUAGUAUAAUGGUAUUACGAGGCCAUGGUAAGGCUUUAACGUAGGUCCGAUUCCUACUUGUGGCACCA
rnacentral:tRNA from 1 species